rnacentral:siRNA from 1 species
UUUUGGUCCGGACCACUGCA